GGGUCGGUGCCCGAGCGGCCAAAGGGAGAAGACUGUAAAUCUGACGGCACAGCCUACGGUGGUUCGAUUCCACCCCGGCCCACCG
rnacentral:tRNA from 1 species